rnacentral:tRNA from 1 species
UCAGGUUGUGGCUCCGUGGUAGAGUGCAUGCUUACCAUGUGUGAAGCACUGGGUUCGAUUCUCAGCACUGCA